UACGAAGGGGGAUAGCGUUGUUCGGAAUUACUGGGCGUAAAGCGCACGUAGGCGGAUUUGUAAGUCAGGGGUGAAAUCCCGGGGCUCAACCUCGGAACUGCCUUUGAUACUGCAAAUCUCGAGUCCGGAAGAGGUGAGUGGAAUUCCUAGUGUAGAGGUGAAAUUCGUAGAUAUUAGGAAGAACACCAGUGGCGAAGGCGGCUCACUGGUCCGGUACUGACGCUGAGGUGCGAAAGCGUGGGGAGCAAACAGG
rnacentral:rRNA from 1 species